GGGGCGGUGGCCAGGCGGUUGCCCUGACAACGGGGAACCGACCGACUCUUCCCGGUAGGGAGAGGCGAUGGCGGAAUUACUCCUCUAAUGUCAAGGUAUUCUAAUCACAGAAUUACUGGAGCAUCAAGAAGUGCCUGCAUGCUUGGAAGGGCUUCCAGGCAGAUGAACACACCUCAGCACCGGGUGGCAUUUUCCCAGGGUGCAACCCGGACCGGCUCUGGGUCACACUGACAAGGACAACAGGGUUAACAAUUUCCAGAGACAGCCCGUACAUAGAAGGAAUGUUUACUGAAAAAAAUGAAGAGGGGUCAGGGCAAGGCGAGGAGCAAGAAGCACCCCCAAGGAAACAGAGAAGACCAGUACAACUGUACCUCUUUGCCAGCUGCACCAUCCGUACCAGGUGGCACGUUCCAGAGCCAUAGCCUCUGUUCUAUUCAUCUCCAGUCUCCUGGGGUGGAAGUGUCCAGCACAGAGACUGCCACACUGCAAGACGAAGGGGCUGGACACACGGAAGAGAGAGGCGGAACCCUGCACCCCCUCAACCUCAGCCCUACUGAGUCUCCAAUGGGGCCACGCUUCUGAGUGCACCUCCCCGUGUCAUCUGUAAUGUGAGGGGGAACCAGGCUUGAUAUGGCAUUCCCAAUCCAGGGCCUCUGGACCCCUUGAGAUGCAUAAA
rnacentral:lncRNA from 1 species